AGAGAGAGACAUGCGCGCAUAUCAAUAAGCGGAGGAAAAGAAACUAACAAGGAUUCCCUUAGUAACGGCGAGUGAAGCGGGAAGAGCUCAAAUUUGAAAUCUUCAAGGUUUUACCUUGACGAAUUGUAGUUUAAAGAAGUGUUUUCUGCUGAAGUUUUGGUAAAAGUUCUUUGGAAUAGGACAUCAUAGAGGGUGAGAAUCCCGUAUUUGACCAUUAUUUUCAGCUUUGUGAUACACUUUCAAAGAGUCGGAUUGUUUGGGAAUGCAGUCCAAAAUGGGUGGUAAAUUUCAUCUAAAGCUAAAUAUUGGCGAGAGACCGAUAGCGAACAAGUACCGUGAGGGAAAGAUGAAAAGAACUUUGAAAAGAGAGUUAAACAGUACGUGAAAUUGUCAAAAGGGAAGCGUUGACACCAGUGUUGUUUUCUCGAAAAUCAAUUAAAAAUGGCUCGAUUUUGUAUUGUUGAGACCUUAAAAGCUCACUGUACAUUUUUCGUGUCUUUUUUAAUGCACUUUUCGUUUAACAAGUCAACAUCAGUUUCCUUUGUUGUAAAAGGGUCAUUGGAAGGUGGCUUUCUUUUCGGAGAAAGUGUUUAUAGCCUUUGGCCUCUGCAAUCGGAGAGACUGAGGUCUGCAGCGUAGACUCUUCGGGGUUAGAUACAUUUGUGCUAAGUUAUAGCUUUUUAUAGACAACUUGUUGACUAUAAUUAGUCUUGUAGCUUACUCGCUUAUGCUAUUUUACCUACGCUUAGGAUGUUGAAGAUGUAGCACAUCA
rnacentral:rRNA from 1 species